rnacentral:rRNA from 1 species
AUGAACGCUAGCUACAGGCUUAACACAUGCAAGUCGAGGGGCAGCAUUUUAGUUUGCUUGCAAACUGAAGAUGGCAACCGGCGCACGGGUGAGUAACACGUAUCCAACCUGCCGAUAACUCCGGAAUAGCCUUUCGAAAGAAAGAUUAAUACCGGAUAGCAUACGAAUAUCGCAUGAUAUUUUUAUUAAAGAAUUUCGGUUAUCGAUGGGGAUGCGUUCCAUUAGUUUGUUGGCGGGGUAACGGCCCACCAAGACUACGAUGGAUAGGGGUUCUGAGAGGAAGGUCCCCCACAUUGGAACUGAGACACGGUCCAAACUCCUACGGGAGGCAGCAGUGAGGAAUAUUGGUCAAUGGGCGAGAGCCUGAACCAGCCAAGUAGCGUGAAGGAUGAAGGCUCUAUGGGUCGUAAACUUCUUUUAUAUGGGAAUAAAGUUUUCCACGUGUGGAAUUUUGUAUGUACCAUAUGAAUAAGGAUCGGCUAACUCCGUGCCAGCAGCCGCGGUAAUACGGAGGAUCCGAGCGUUAUCCGGAUUUAUUGGGUUUAAAGGGAGCGUAGGUGGAUUGUUAAGUCAGUUGUGAAAGUUUGCGGCUCAACCGUAAAAUUGCAGUUGAAACUGGCAGUCUUGAGUACAGUAGAGGUGGGCGGAAUUCGUGGUGUAGCGGUGAAAUGCUUAGAUAUCACGAAGAACUCCGAUUGCGAAGGCAGCUCACUAGACUGUCACUGACACUGAUGCUCGAAAGUGUGGGUAUCAAACAGGAUUAGAUACCCUGGUAGUCCACACAGUAAACGAUGAAUACUCGCUGUUUGCGAUAUACAGUAAGCGGCCAAGCGAAAGCAUUAAGUAUUCCACCUGGGGAGUACGCCGGCAACGGUGAAACUCAAAGGAAUUGACGGGGGCCCGCACAAGCAGUGGAGUAUGUGGUUUAAUUCGAAGCAACGCGAAGAACCUUACCAGGUCUUGACAUCGAGUGACGGCUCUAGAGAUAGAGCUUUCCUUCGGGACACAAAGACAGGUGGUGCAUGGUUGUCGUCAGCUCGUGUCGUGAGAUGUUGGGUUAAGUCCCGCAACGAGCGCAACCCUUAUCCUCAGUAGCCAGCAGGUAAAGCUGGGCACUCUGUGGAGACUGCCAGGGAUAACCUGGAGGAAGGUGGGGAUGACGUCAAAUCAUCAUGCCCCUUAUGAUCUGGGCUACACACGUGCUACAAUGGCGUAAACAAAGGGAAGCGAAGUCGCGAGGCGGAGCGAACCCCAAAAAUAACGUCUCAGUUCGGAUUGUAGUCUGCAACUCGACUACAUGAAGCUGGAAUCGCUAGUAAUCGCGAAUCAGAAAGUCGCGGUGAAUACGUUCCCGGGCCUUGUACACACCGCCCGUCAAGCCAUGAAAGCCGGGGGUACCUGAAGUACGUAACCGCAAGGAGCGUCCUAGGGUAAAACUGGUAAUUGGGGCU